rnacentral:rRNA from 1 species
GUGCAGCAGGCGCGAAACCUCCGCAAUGCGCGAAAGCGUGACGGGGUCACCCCGAGUGUCGUCUGUUGAAGACGACUUUUCCCCGGUGUAAACAGCCGGGGGUAAUAAGGGGAGGGCAAGACUGGUGUCAGCCGCCGCGGUAAUACCAGCUCCUCGAGUGGUGAGGACGAUUAUUGGGCUUAAAGCGUCCGUAGCCGGCUUAACAAGUCGCCCGUCAAAUCCGGCGAUCCAAUCGCCGGACCGCGGGCGAUACUGUUAAGCUAGGAGGCGGGAGAGGCCGGCGGUACUUCCGGGGUAGGGGUGAAAUCCUAUAAUCCUGGAAGGACCACCAGUGGCGAAGGCGGCCGGCCAGAACGCGCUCGACGGUGAGGGACGAAAGCUGGGGGAGCGAACCGGAUUAGAUACCCGGGUAGUCC